rnacentral:siRNA from 1 species
CGGAAGCGUCGUUCGGACCGCCU